GACGAACGCUGGCGGCGUGCUUAACACAUGCAAGUCGAACGGAAAGGCCCUGCUUUUGUGGGGUGCUCGAGUGGCGAACGGGUGAGUAACACGUGAGUAACCUGCCCUUGACUUUGGGAUAACUUCAGGAAACUGGGGCUAAUACCGGAUAGGAGCUCCUGCUGCAUGGUGGGGGUUGGAAAGUUUCGGCGGUUGGGGAUGGACUCGCGGCUUAUCAGCUUGUUGGUGGGGUAGUGGCUUACCAAGGCUUUGACGGGUAGCCGGCCUGAGAGGGUGACCGGCCACAUUGGGACUGAGAUACGGCCCAGACUCCUACGGGAGGCAGCAGUGGGGAAUAUUGCACAAUGGGCGGAAGCCUGAUGCAGCAACGCCGCGUGCGGGAUGACGGCCUUCGGGUUGUAAACCGCUUUCGCCUGUGACGAAGCGUGAGUGACGGUAAUGGGUAAAGAAGCACCGGCUAACUACGUGCCAGCAGCCGCGGUGAUACGUAGGGUGCGAGCGUUGUCCGGAUUUAUUGGGCGUAAAGGGCUCGUAGGUGGUUGAUCGCGUCGGAAGUGUAAUCUUGGGGCUUAACCCUGAGCGUGCUUUCGAUACGGGUUGACUUGAGGAAGGUAGGGGAGAAUGGAAUUCCUGGUGGAGCGGUGGAAUGCGCAGAUAUCAGGAGGAACACCAGUGGCGAAGGCGGUUCUCUGGGCCUUUCCUGACGCUGAGGAGCGAAAGCGUGGGGAGCGAACAGGCUUAGAUACCCUGGUAGUCCACGCUGUAAACGGUGGGUACUAGGUGUGGGGUCCAUUCCACGGGUUCCGUGCCGUAGCUAACGCUUUAAGUACCCCGCCUGGGGAGUACGGCUGCAAGGCUAAAACUCAAAGGAAUUGACGGGGCCCCGCACAAGCGGCGGAGCAUGCGGAUUAAUUCGAUGCAACGCGUAGAACCUUACCUGGGUUUGACAUGGAUCGGGAGCGCUCAGAGAUGGGUGUGCCUCUUUUGGGGUCGGUUCACAGGUGGUGCAUGGCUGUCGUCAGCUCGUGUCGUGAGAUGUUGGGUUAAGUCCCGCAACGAGCGCAACCCUUGUUCACUGUUGCCAGCACGUUAUGGUGGGGACUCAGUGGAGACCGCCGGGGUCAACUCGGAGGAAGGUGGGGAUGACGUCAAGUCAUCAUGCCCCUUAUGUCCAGGGCUUCACGCAUGCUACAAUGGCUGGUACAGAGAGUGGCGAGCCUGUGAGGAUGAGCGAAUCUCGGAAAGCCGGUCUCAGUUCGGAUUGGGGUCUGCAACUCGACCUCAUGAAGUCGGAGUCGCUAGCAAUCGCAGAUCAGCAACGUUGCGGUGAAUACGUUCCCGGG
rnacentral:rRNA from 1 species